CCCCUGCAAGAUGAUGAGUUGAUCUCCUACAUCCUCAACGGGUUGGAUAUGGAGUAUCAACCGCUCGUCUCCGCCCUCGAUGCUCGAGUCCCUGUCACCCUUGAUGAGUUGUUCUCUAUGAUGAGCAAUUUUGAUC
rnacentral:snoRNA from 1 species